UUGGAACCACAGGAUGAAUCGAAGGACAUAAAGAGUGGUGCACAAAUUCCUCGUCAAGUACCACGUUGGCUUUCAAAUUCCACUCCCGAUGAAUUUGUUGAGAUAAUAAAAAAGAGUGGUGCUGCACUUCAUGUGAAAUAUUUGCAGACAAUGGUUGAGUGCCUCUGUAUGCUGGGCAAAGUUGCAGCUGCUGGUGCAAUGAUAUGCCAGAGAUUGCGACCCACAAUUCAUGACAUUAUCACUUCCAAGAUAAAAGCUCAUGCAGAACUUGUUAACUCUUCAAAGUCUGGAACUUGUCAGGCUGCCCAAACUGCUACCACAGGUCUUCAUUUUCUGAAAGGACAGUUAGAAAGCUACCAG
rnacentral:misc_RNA from 1 species